UUCAAUUCUCUCUCAUUUUCCCUCUUUCUACACAAAGUUUUUUAGAAUUUAUUUCUCUAUUAUUUUUUAAGUUACCGAGCGUAGCGAGUGUUUAUCGUGGGUGUUAGUAUUCCAGUGGGUCCAAGUUUUGUUUUUAUCAACAAAGAAGACUAUUUUAUCUUGGGGAUGAUCGGGCUAUAACAACUACUAGCACCUAAAGUAGAGUCGUGAAACAUCUUACAUAAAUGAACCGACCAUUUCGCUUUGAAGGAGCCCACUUCAAACGUUGAAAGCAGAAGAUGAUUUUUCUUAACCCUAAAGAAGGUUGCAUGCACCAUCGAAGAGCCAAAAGUUUCCAAGACUUAUCCAAUCGAGGAGCAACUCCAGUACUAUGUCCACGACGAAGGAAGUCUGGGAUGCACUGUAAAAGAAAUACGAUACUAAAGAAGCUAGAUCCAAGAAGUAUGCGAUAAGCCGAUACUUGUGGUACUAGAUGGUUGCUGAUAGAUUAGUAGAAGCCUAAUCACACGAACUGCAGAAGAUGGCCUACGAAAUAAUUAGUGAAGGUAUGCAUUUAGAUGAGCAAUUUCAAGUUGUUGUUAUUAUUGAUAAGCUACCUUCACCAUGGAAGGACUUUAAAAAUAUUCUGAGGCAUAAGACAAAGGAGUUUUCCCUGAAGAGCUUGAUCACCUAGUUGUGAAUUGAGGAGGAGGCCUGCAAGCAUGACCAGAAGGAGGAGGAGGUGAAUGUGAUCCCUAAAAAGAAGUCUACUGUCAUCUUGAAACUUGACCUAAAGCCUAAGGGAAAUAAGAUGAAGGUUCAGAAUCGUGGGUCCAACAACCUGAAGAAUUAGCAGAACCCCAAUCCAGAAGUAUGGUACCAAUUGUGUGUUUCAAUUGUAAACCUAGGCAUUCUAGCUAGGAACUAUAGGAACAGGAAUCAUUCUAUUGCACAGGCGAACCUAGUAGAAGACUUGGUAACUAUGACCACAAAAAUAUAUGUAAUUGAAGGGUCUAAAGGUUGGUGACUAGACACUAGUCCUUCACGCCAUGUUUGUCACGACCUUAGUUUAUUUAAAAAAUAUAAUGAAACUAAGGACAAUAAUAUUCUUCUGAGGGAUCAUCUCACAACCAAGGUAGUAAGCAUUGAGGAAGUGGAGUUGAAGUUCACCUUCAGCAAGACAUUCAUUUUGAAGGAAGUCCUGCACACUUCUGAAAUCUGAAAGAACAUGGUCUCAGACUAUCUCCUUAACAAGGCGGGCUUCACUCAAACUAUAGGAUCCGACCACUUUACUUUAACAAAGAAUAAUACAUUUGCAGGAAAGGGUAUGCAACAAUAUGUUCAAAUUAAAUCUUCAUAAAAAUGUAUCUUCUACUUA